rnacentral:rRNA from 1 species
GCUUGCUCCACCGGAAAAAGAAGAGUGGCGAACGGGUGAGUAACACGUGGGUAACCUGCCCAUCAGAAGGGGAUAACACUUGGAAACAGGUGCUAAUACCGUAUAACAAUCGAAACCGCAUGGUUUUGAUUUGAAAGGCGCUUUCGGGUGUCGCUGAUGGAUGGACCCGCGGUGCAUUAGCUAGUUGGUGAGGUAACGGCUCACCAAGGCCACGAUGCAUAGCCGACCUGAGAGGGUGAUCGGCCACAUUGGGACUGAGACACGGCCCAAACUCCUACGGGAGGCAGCAGUAGGGAAUCUUCGGCAAUGGACGAAAGUCUGACCGAGCAACGCCGCGUGAGUGAAGAAGGUUUUCGGAUCGUAAAACUCUGUUGUUAGAGAAGAACAAGGAUGAGAGUAACUGUUCAUCCCUUGACGGUAUCUAACCAGAAAGCCACGGCUAACUACGUGCCAGCAGCCGCGGUAAUACGUAGGUGGCAAGCGUUGUCCGGAUUUAUUGGGCGUAAAGCGAGCGCAGGCGGUUUCUUAAGUCUGAUGUGAAAGCCCCCGGCUCAACCGGGGAGGGUCAUUGGAAACUGGGAGACUUGAGUGCAGAAGAGGAGAGUGGAAUUCCAUGUGUAGCGGUGAAAUGCGUAGAUAUAUGGAGGAACACCAGUGGCGAAGGCGGCUCUCUGGUC